rnacentral:snoRNA from 1 species
GGACUGUGAUGAUUAAUUAGUGAAAGGUCUCGUUCGUCGUAAUUGGCUAUCUAUUUAGCCUUGCCGACCAUACUGAUAUAUCACCACCCAUAACCUGAGUCC